CCUUUUGCUUUGACAGCAGUUAGGAGAAGCAGCGAGCAGCGAAAGAAGCAGUCCGCAACCAUUCAGGAGAUAUUAUUGUUGGGUUAUACAGAUGGGAUAUUUACACCGUUUUAUGGAAUCGUUUCAAUUUCGUUUGGCGAGCGGAGGCGCAAUUUUAAACACCUUUCAUGAAAUGUCACUGCAUAUCUUCAAUCACAUAUCUUCCUUGGCUUCGUGAAAGGAAUUUAGAUAGAAAGAACAGACGAUCAUUUUCACAAGAAAUUUGCUCUUAUUCCUUCAAGCAGGAUGGUGUCAUACAGUUUCAUAUUCACUUUGGUUAUUGCUGUGGCAUGGGAAGUUAUCGGUGAACCACAAACUCUACCUUCACCCUCAACGCAGCUAAAUUCAACAUCAUCCAUUCAUGGAGGGGAUUUGUCAAAUAAUGGCACAGAUGAGACCGAAUCAAAAAUGUCUUCAAUGUUACAAUAUCUUCCUACUCUUAAAAAUAUUGUAAUUAUUAUUUGCGCGCUAACAGCUGUUCUCAUCACGUGCUUGGUAAUCAAAGUGAUCAGAUCUGGACGGAGAAUCAGGAAAACACGAAAGUAUGACAUAAUCACGACACCAGCAGAGCGAGUAGAGAUGGCUCCUUUGAAUGAGGAGAAUGAUGAUGAAGAGGACUCCACCCUCUUUGAUGUCAAGUACAGGUGAAUGCCAGCAUUUAACAGAGGAUGUUGGAUUUUGAACUCACAAUUUUCUCCAGUGGAAACACAACCCAAGGAUAUCUUUCCUAAAGCUGUUUCCUGAUGUAUUCAGUGUUUGGUAACUUCUGUCAAGUCUAGUCAAGUUACCCAUCUCACCCAAUAUUUGCAGAAGAGGGUACCUCGGUGGUCUUGUUUUCUAGAAUGUAUUCUGAUUGUGAACAAGCUGUAUUUACAAUCAUUUUGUACACAUCAUACACUUCUAAUGCAGAAGCCUCAUCUUCAGAGGGAUACUGCCCCCAGCUAGCUCAGUAAAUGCAUAUCUUCUUUAAGCUAAAACUAAAUACAUAGAGAACAUUUGAUGGCUUCUGCGUAAAGGCAAUCCUCUGGCUGUCCUCUAAUGCUUAUGGUGUAUUAUUCACUGUAAUAUUAGAGGCAUUCCUCAGAUUAUUAGUUUAAUAUGUAUGAUUUGCACACUGAAGAAUACUUAUUUACUAAUUUGGUGCAAAGAUUAUUUUAAUUGUCAACUAUUUGGCUAUUCCAAAUAUUACACUAAGCACUAAAAUAUGCAUACACUGUAUAUUGUCUGAGGCUUUCUGUCCUCUGUCUCGUGGUUGGUUUGGGUGCAUAUGUUUUACUGUGUGUGUUUGAGAGUCUCCCAUUUUGCUGCUAUCUAACUGGGGGUUGGUUAAGGUUUUAAGUGCAUAAAAGUAAAGUGGAAAACCGGGUCAUAGAAUAGACUUUGCAGGGUAUUUAAAAUAAAUGUAUGCUUCUCAAAAGCUAUAUAUUCGUGUGUGUGURUAUACAGUGGGAGAACAAGUAUUUGAUACACUGCCGAUUUUGCAGGUUUUCCUACUUACAAAGCAUGUAG